rnacentral:rRNA from 1 species
AACGAACGCUGGCGGCAGGCCUAACACAUGCAAGUCGAACGCCGUAGCAAUACGGAGUGGCAGACGGGUGAGUAACGCGUGGGAACCUUCCCUAUGGUUCGGAAUAGCUCAGGGAAACCUGGGGUAAUACCGGAUAAGCCCUUCGGGGGAAAGAUUUAUCGCUAUUGGAUGGGCCCGCGUCGGAUUAGCUGGUUGGUGGGGGAACGGCCUACCAAGGCGACGAUCCGUAGCUGGUCUGAGAGGAUGAUCAGCCACACUGGGACUGAGACACGGCCCAGACUCCUACGGGAGGCAGCAGUGGGGAAUAUUGGACAAUGGGCGAAAGCCUGAUCCAGCCAUGCCGCGUGAGUGACGAAGGCCUUAGGGUUGUAAAGCUCUUUUGGCGGGGAAGAUAAUGACGGUACCCGCAGAAUAAGCUCCGGCUAACUUCGUGCCAGCAGCCGCCGUAA